UGGGGAAUUUUGGACAAUGGGGGAAACCCUGAUCCAGCCAUCCCGCGUGUGCGAUGAAGGCCUUCGGGUUGUAAAGCACUUUUGGCAGAAAGAAACGUCGCGGGUUAAUACCCCGCGAAACUGACGGUACCUGCAGAAUAAGCACCGGCUAACUACGUGCCAGCAGCCGCGGUAAUACGUAGGGUGCAAGCGUUAAUCGGAAUUACUGGGCGUAAAGCGUGCGCAGGCGGUUCGGAAAGAAAGAUGUGAAAUCCCAGAGCUUAACUUUGGAACUGCAUUUUUAACUACCGGGCUAGAGUGUGUCAGAGGGAGGUGGAAUUCCGCGUGUAGCAGUGAAAUGCGUAGAUAUGCGGAGGAACACCGAUGGCGAAGGCAGCCUCCUGGGAUAACACUGACGCUCAUGCACGAAAGCGUGGGGAGCAAACAGGAUUAGAUACCCUGGUAGUCCACGCCCUAAACGAUGUCAACUAGCUGUUGGGGCCUUCGGGCCUUGGUAGCGCAGCUAACGCGUGAAGUUGACCGCCUGGGGAGUACGGUCGCAAGAUUAAAACUUAAAGGAAUUGAC
rnacentral:rRNA from 1 species